CCUACGGGAGGCAGCAGUGGGGAAUAUUGGACAAUGGGCGAAAGCCUGAUCCAGCAAUGCCGCGUGAGUGAUGAAGGCCUUAGGGUCGUAAAGCUCUUUUACCCGGGAUGAUAAUGACAGUACCGGGAGAAUAAGCCCCGGCUAACUCCGUGCCAGCAGCCGCGGUAAUACGGAGGGGGCUAGCGUUGUUCGGAAUUACUGGGCGUAAAGCGUGCGUAGGCGGUUAUUCAAGUCAGAGGUGAAAGCCCGGGGCUCAACCCCGGAACGGCCUUUGAAACUAGGUAGCUAGAAUCUUGGAGAGGUCAGUGGAAUUCCGAGUGUAGAGGUGAAAUUCGUAGAUAUUCGGAAGAACACCAGUGGCGAAGGCGACUGACUGGACAAGUAUUGACGCUGAGGCACGAAAGCGUGGGGAGCAAACAGGAUUAGAUACCCUGGUAGUCCACGCCGUAAACGAUGAUAACUAGCUGUUCGGGUACUUGGUAUCUGAGUGGCGCAGCUACGACAUUAAGUUAUACCGUCCGUCGGGUAGGUACGGUCGCGAGAAUAAACUACAAGAAGUAGACGCGUGAGACGNGCGACGACGACGACGAGGGAGUAGG
rnacentral:rRNA from 1 species